UACGGAGGGGGCUAGCGUUGUUCGGAAUUACUGGGCGUAAAGCGCACGUAGGCGGCUUUGUAAGUUAGAGGUGAAAGCCCGGGGCUCAACUCCGGAAUUGCCUUUAAGACUGCAUCGCUAGAAUUGUGGAGAGGUAAGUGGAAUUCCGGGUGUAGAGGUGAAAUUCGUAGAUAUUCGGAAGAACACCAGUGGCGAAGGCGACACACUGGCCCGUUACUGACGCUGAGGCGCGAAAGCGUGGGGAGCAAACAGG
rnacentral:rRNA from 1 species